GAUCCCAAAUCCAAAACCUGUGGAAUACACCAGGAUGCCCAGCACAACCACAGGGCAAGCAGUCCCUGUCUGCCUCCUGCUUUCCCUGAUGCAGGAGAGGAGAGGAGCUGUGCCGGGACUCCAGACACUGCAGUGUGACAGCUAAACCAAGGAGCAUCGGAUGCGAUGGAAUUGCUCUACAAGCAACCUUGCCAAAGGCCCUUUCGCUGCACAAAGCUGGCUCUAUCUUUGUAUAUUGAGGGAGCUAAAUCAAUGUUAAAUGCUUGGCUCUUUUCACAGGACAAUGACCAGGACCUAAGCUGCGUCCUUCCUUUUUGAUUGACACUUGAAACGUUGAGUUGGAAUCAGCCAGAGGCACUGCUACAAGCUUGAAGCCUCUGCUGGGGAUAACAACUGGUGACAUCUGCAGAAAGGCCGACAAAAGGCAGUUGAAAGCCGUGUUUGUUGCUUUCCCCUCUCAGAUCUCCUCUCUUUCAUGGAGCUCCUUACUUGCUUUAAUAUUAUGAUUCAGCACCUGGCUCUUUUGAACCUUGCUUUAAACUUCAAAAGGCGAGGUGGUAUUAACAAACAUGAAACGAAAAAGUGGCAGUAGUUUGAUUUACUGUUGUCGUCUUAUCAAGGGGGUUUUUUGUCACCAGCUGCCACUUUCUGUCAUCUUUGGAACCAUUAUCAUUUCUCUAAAAUCUAAAAGACUCCACUUAAUAACAGCUUUGAAUACAGGCAGGAUCUGUAACGUAUACAGUUCUGGGAUGACAGGGCCGUCAAAUGAAAAGAAAGAUGUUGCCAAAAAAAAAAUCCUUAAAAAAACAAUAAAACAAAUAAAAGCUGUAGUACUUCUAAGUGACCUUGAUUUCAGAAUUAAACAAAUCAAGCACAA